rnacentral:rRNA from 1 species
UAGGGAAUAUUAGAAAUGGACGAAAGUCUGAUCUAGCAACACCGCGUGUGCGAAGAAGGCCUUCGGGUCGUAAAGCACUUUUUGGAAGGAAUAGGAAGGAAUGUACUUCCAGAAUAAGUCUCGGCUAACUACGUGCCAGCAGCCGCGGUAACACGUAGGAGGCGAACGUUAUCCGGAUUUACUGGGCGUAAAGCGCGUGUAGGUGGUACUGUAAGUAGGGCGUGAAAGCUCCUGGCUCAACUGGGAGAGGCCGUUCUAAACUACAGAACUAGAGGAUGGUAGAGGGAGGUGGAAUUCCAGGUGUAGCGGUGGAAUGCGCAGAUAUCUGGAGGAACACCGGUGGCGAAGGCGGCCUCCCGGACCAUUCCUGACACUCAGACGCGAAAGCUAGGGUAGCAAACG